GCCAGGGAUUAUCCGGGGAGCUAUAGUCUUGCCGCGGGAGGAGGCUGGGUUGCAGGAGCCAGAACUCAGGCGCAAAGAGGAGAGAAUCAAUCUGCGUUUCUGGGACUGAAAAAAACAAUCAUCUCCUGGUGACCAUUUGGUGAUGAUGCCGCCUGCAUUUAGUGAGGCUGGUGCUGGCAUGAUGAGGCCAAGUGAGUUAAUGCGUCCAAUUAAAAAUCUUUAAAGCUUGGGAAGACCUACCAGAGUGUCUACUCCAAUGAUACGGCUCUUAACACCUAAGGGUCGCUUCCAUUGCAGAAGGGGGAAUCAGGAAGGAACUUGAUUCUAGAAUCAUCACAAUCCACGAAGAUCCAUGAAGACACAGCCUGUGCUGAGUUUCCAUUUAUGCUCCUGAAUCUAUGGUAGGAAUUUGUCAAACGGGCCUUGGCAGAGUGACCUCUCAUUAUGACGCUCUGUCAUUAUAAAGACGGAGAUUUUCCUUGGCUCUCCCUAAACCACAAAGUGCUUGGUGUUUGCUUCUUCUUUCUGUGACUUCACUGUCCUGCUGGACCCUCAAGCCUUUUGUCUGCCCACUAGACAGAGAAUCCUUAGAGCUUAGGACUGGAUUAUGAGAUGAGAUAAUGACAACAGUGAUAACGGACAUCUCUAGAACGCUUUUACAGCUAUGUUCUCAUUUAAAAUGGGCAACCUUUGUCUGGUAGAGAAUGCCAGUAUUAUUAUUAUUAUUCCCAUUUUACAAAUGAGGAAACUGAGGCUUUCUUUUGAAAAUGGCUUUCUUUGCCAUGAAAAAAUGAUCCUUGGAAAGAAGAAAGGGAAAAGAAAGUUAAUAGGGUGUUGCAAUGCAAGAUAAAUGAAAACACAUUUAAAGAGCACCCAGGUCCAGGUGAGCUUUAUCUCAGGGCACUGGAAAAACUAGCCCCUAGGAAGUGUCUUAUUUAAACUUGUUAUCUCCUUCAGCACCAAACAGUGAGUUGCAUACAAUAAACACUUAAGAAAUGUUAUUAACUGAAUUCAAAGCUAAUAGGAUGAAAAUGAGCUAAUUCCUGUUUUGCUGAUCCAAAUUACUGCCUUCAGCUGAA